AUUUAGGUAGCUUAAUUAGAGCGUUGCAUUGAAGAUGCAAAGGUGAUAUUUCCCUAGAUA
rnacentral:tRNA from 1 species